rnacentral:rRNA from 1 species
GAUUAGGCAUGCAAGUCGAACGGGAUCACCCCGGUAGCAAUACUGGGGCGUGAGAGUGGCGGAAGGGCGAGUAAGGCAUGGGCAACCUGCCCCCUGACCGGGGAUAACCCGGCGAAAGCCGGGCUAAUACCGGAUGCGGCCCCCGGGAGGCAUCUCCCGGGUGCUAAAGGCGGGGAUCCGCAAGGACCUGCCGUCAGGGGAGGGGCCCGUGUGCCAUCAGCUUGUUGGUGGGGUAACGGCUCACCAAGGCAUACGGCUAGCUGGUCUGAGAGGACGACCAGCCGCACUGGGACUGAGACACUGCCCAGACUCCUACGGGAGGCUGCAGUCGAGGAUCAUUCGCAAUGGGCGGAAGCCUGACGAUGCGACGCUGCGUGGAGGACGAAGGCCUUCGGGUUGUAAACUCCUGUCAUGGGGGAAAAAGGUUCCGCCGGUUAAUACCCGGCGGUCUCGAUGGUACCCCAAGAGGAAGCCACGGCUAACUCUGUGCCAGCAGCCGCGGUAAUACAGAGGUGGCGAGCGUUGUUCGGAUUUACUGGGCGUAAAGGGCGCGUAGGCGGCCUUGUGUGUCGCGUGUGAAAUCCCCGGGCUCAACCCGGGAAGUGCGCGCGAAACUGCGGGGCUCGAGCGGAGGAGGGGAGAGCGGAAUUCAUGGUGUAGCGGUGAAAUGCGUUGAUAUCAUGAGGAACACCGGUGGCGAAGGCGGCUCUCUGGAAUCCUGCUGACGCUGAGGCGCGAAAGCCGGGGGAGCAAACAGGAUUAGAUACCCUGGUAGUCCCGGCCCUAAACGGUGCAUACUUGGCGUGGGGAGUUUCACCCUUCCCGUGCCGGAGCUAACGUGUUAAGUAUGCCGCCUGGGGAGUACGGCCGCAAGGCUAAAACUCAAAGAAAUUGACGGGGGCCCGCACAAGCGGAGGAGCAUGUGGCUUAAUUCGAUGCAACGCGAAGAACCUUACCCGGGUUUGACAUGUGACUGCACGUCCCGCGAAAGCGGGAUUCCUUCGAGGGUGUCACACAGGUGCUGCAUGGCUGUCGUCAGUUCGUGCCGUGAGGUGUUUGGUUAAGUCCAGCAACGAACGCAACCCUUGUGUCCUGUUGCCAGCAAGUAAAGUUGGGGACUCAGGACAGACUGCCCGUUUACGCGGGAGGAAGGUGGGGAUGACGUCAAGUCAGUAUGGCCCUUACAUCCGGGGCUGCACACGUGCUACAAUGGUCGGUACAAUGGGAAGCUAAGCUGCAAAGCCCUGCCAAUCUCCAAAGCCGGCCUCAGUUCGGAUUGGGGUCUGCAACCCGACCCCAUGAAGUCGGAUUUGCUAGUAACGGCGUAUCAGCUACGACGCCGUGAAUACGUUCCCGGGCCUUGUACACACCGCCCGUCA